UUUUUCUUUUUCUUUUUCACGAACACACCCAUCACAGUGACGAAACCUCCUCCUUCUGUUUUCUGCAGAGUAUCUCUUAAUCUGAAAUUGCUACACACAACUUCUAUUCUUCUAAACUUUUUCUGAGUUCUUCCCUUCCCACGUGCGAAUUGGUGCUGUGAUCAACAAUGGCUGCACAAGUGAAGAGCUUUCACCUUAACUCCCACUCCAAGAAACCCUCUCUACCAACCAGCAAAAUGCAGAACAUGUCAAGUGCAAGAGGAGAAGAAUUGAUGAAGGGGGUGUUCAGAAAGAGGGCUAUUGACAAGGGGAAUAAUGUGAUAGAAAGCGACCAAAUAAAUGACUCCAAGAAAAAGUCCAAUGUUUCUGGUCAUCACAAUCAGCAGAAUCAAGGUGGAAACGAGUUGAUGAAUGUGGUAAGGAAAGGGACAGAGAAGUUGAGCAUAAAAGAAAACAAAUGCAAAUCAGGUCCACAUUCAAAGGUGUGCUACUGUGCACCAACCACUCAUGAAGGUUCAUUCAGGUGCCGUCUCCACCGCAAGAAGUCAGCCACAGAUGAUAAUAAUAAGAGCAAUCUGAGGUUGAAUUCCCAGUAUGGGAUGGUGGAGUUUCAGCCUCAGAUGCCAAGUGCUGUGAUCAUCAAUGGCUGGACAAAUGAAGAGCUUUCACCUGAAAUCUCACUACAAGAAAACCUCUCACCUCUCCAGCAAAAAGUGAAAAAGUACAACAGAACAAGAAUUGAUGAAUGCAGUGGUCAGAACCAGGACUAUUUACAUAGAAAGCAGCAAACAGGGGAAUGAUGACUCCAAGAAAGCAGCAACCACUAAUGAAGUUUCAUGCAAGUAUUCCAGCCUCUACAGCAAGUCAUCAGCCACAAAAAAUAAGAGCAACCUGAAGUUGAAUUCCAAGUCCACACAUGGGAUAGUGGAGAAUCAGCCUCAUUUGCCAAGGUGUUGCUACGUACGUCACAAAGCUUUACAUGAAACCCCUGCAAUUUUAGAAGGAAGGGGUUAGCGAGAACUUCAAAUUCCACUAAUAAAGAUACAUUUUUUAUACAUUUUUUUUUUUUUUGCAUAUAUGUAAAAUAAUACUGUGUGCACUUGCUGGCAACUAUCCUUUAAGAGAAAGGUAACGUAUUUUGGAGACCAAGAAUAUAAUCAACUUGGAUACAUGUUUACAAUAGCAACAUUUUCUGUAAUAAACUUAUCGCAACUGCUCUACCUAACAAGCUAAAUCCUCUACGAGCAUAGUAUGUACGUUUACAGUCUACCAUAUAACUAAGUUUAUUUGUCAGAGUCAAUUGUUUAAUUGAAGUUAAGCAACCACUCUCAGCUUCAAAUUCAACAGUUCUUAACAUUCCCAAGGCUAGCAAUCAGUAUAUAAGCAAGGUGUGCAUCUAGUUCGUAUCAGUACAAAAGGAAUCAGAUGCACCCUAUUAUAAAAGUAGAAAAAUUUCAGUAAAGAUACAACAAAUCCACCAGCUGGAUCAAGAAAUUUCGGAAGACAAACAAAAGUUGGAAAAAAAAAAUAGCCAGUGGGA